CAGAUAUACUGAAAAUUACAAGAACCCCUAUUAGAAAUUCAACUAAGAAAAAUCGAAAAAUCAAAUUAAAUAUUCAGAAGAGAUCUUCUCAAUCAAGAUUUUUUGUCAUUUGAUUAUGCAGUGAGUGGCAUAGAAUUAUAACCCAUGUUUGCGUUCCCAAGUUGUCCGUUGAGGCACCUGUUUCAGGGUAUACUUCCGUAUUGCUCGAUUAUCGGGGAAAAGAACAAUGAAUGAGCCUGAAGGGUCUACCUCUCAAGAGUCUCAACAACUUAAAAAAAGAAAAGGUAAAUAUGUUAUGAUUGCUUUAUUUAUGAAUAGGUGCUAGAGCUGAGUUUUUGGGCUUUUCCUAUUGCCGAAUAUUGGUGAGCCAAUAUGGUUGCUUCACCUUAUGCUAAUAGAAUUUCAUAUAUGCUUCAUAGACAUGGCCAUUGUUGCUAUAGGCUAGUCACAGAUAACUGCUUUAAUUUUUCCCAGUUUGAUCAAAUAUUGAUUGCAACACAAACUCCUAGUUGAAUUAAUCUCCUGAUUGUCCUUAAUUAUUCAUCCUAGUUGUGCACUGAAUUUAUAACCUUCUUGUUUCUCGUAGCCUGAAGAGAGUUCUUUAUAUCUUUUUUUUUUUUUUUUUUUUUUGAGGGAUGAGUUCUUUAUAUCUUUUAUUCCUUUUAUCUUCAUUUUAUAUUUUCAUAUACAGCUACGUUUAUCUUUUCUAAUGGAAAUCCUUAUGUUGUUUUUUUAUCUUCCUGGUAAUAUGUAUGCAUGUGAUUUUCUAAAAUGAUGCGAGCUGAAUUGGAAGUUUCUAAGAAGAAACAAGAUGACCUAGAACUAAAGCUUCGGUUAGUCGUGGAGAAGAUUGGCCUUAAUGCUUAAUAGAGGACUCGAAACUGUUUCUUACCUGAAUCUGUCAAGUUUGCAGUCAGGGGAUCAAGUCAAUGUGCUGAUGUUUUGGAGAUGGACACCAAAAGGCGGGUUGCAUUACAGAUGGAAAAAAAGGGGAUGCUAGAAGCUGCAAGAAUGAGAAGAUUGCUUGAUAGUUCAUGUCCUAGAAAAAACAUUAUUAAAUUUUAGUACUCUUUGGCUUAGCUAUUUGCUAUUUAUAAAAACUUGGUUAAUACUUUUGUUUA